rnacentral:lncRNA from 1 species
AGAUGAAGAGGGAGGGGAAAUGAGACAAACACAAAUUGGUCAUGGGAGGAAUUUUAUCAAAUUAAAAUCCUUCAUUCAUUUUGGGAGAUGAAAUAUACAUUUCAUCGAUCCCCAAAAUCCAAUGAUUUUAUUCAAACAAAAGUCAAAUCAACCUUGACCAAGGCCCAAACACAAUAUUCAAACCUCACAAGUCAAUAAAAAUGGCUCAACACAAUUUGUUUUCAAUUAAACAAAUUAAAAAUCAA